AAACAGGCUCCCCCAACUGACACAAACCGUGCAACUUGAAACUCCGCCUGGUCUUUCCAGGUCUAGAGGGGUGACACUUUGUACUGUGUUUGGCUCCGCGUUCGAUCCACCGGCGAGUGUUAGUAACACCACUGCUACUUCGUAGCGGAGCAUGACGGCCGUGGGAACCCCUCCUUGGUAACAAGGACCCACGGGGCCGAAAGCCACGUCCACAUGGACCCGUCAUGUGUGCAACCCCAGCACGGUAGCUUUGCUGUGAAACUCACUUUAAAGUGACAUUGAUACCGGUACCCAAAUACUGGUGACAGGCUAAGGAUGCCCUUCAGGUACCCCGAGGUAACAUGCGACACUCGGGAUCUGAGAAGGGGACUGGGGCUUCUGUAAAAGCGCUCAGUUUAAAAAGCUUCUAUGUCUGGAUAGGUGACCGGAGGCCGGCACCUUUUCUUUUACUAUUUGACUCUA
rnacentral:other from 1 species